GAAAGGGACGCUAAUACCGCAUGACAUCCUGCGUUUGGAAACGCGGAGAUCAAAAAGAAAAGAUCGCAAGACCUGGCGCUUGAAGAGGGGCCCGCGCCUGAUUAGCUAGUUGGUGGGGUAACGGCCUACCAAGGCAACGAUCAGUAUCCGGCCUGAGAGGGCGGACGGAC
rnacentral:rRNA from 1 species